UAGAUAGAUAGAUAGAUAGAUAGAUAGAUAGAUAGAUACAUACUGUAUGGCUAGAUAGAUAGAUAGAUAGAUAGAUACUGUAUGGCUAGAUAGAUAGACAGAUAGACAGACAGACAGACAGAUAUGUAGAUAGAUAGAUAGAUAGAUAUUGUCAAAUGGUUGUUUAAAAUGUUAUGCUAUCCAUUGUCCAUUUAUUCUGUAAUAAAAUUAACUUUUAUUUUUACAGUGUGUAUGCUAAUACAUAGUUUUGAAAAAUAAUACUUUUUAAAAUAUUGUAAAAUAUUAGACACAGACUCAUAUUAAUAAAAAUACACCAGGAAACAUUAUCAAUGCAGUGUUCCUUGUACCUACUGUAACUUCAUUUCCAACUCUAACUUCAUUUGCUGUGUAUAUGCAAG